UUUCCGUAGGUGAACCAGCGGAGGGAUCAUUACCGAGUUUACAACUCCCAAACCCUAUGUGAACCUUACCUAUCGUUGCUUCGGCGGGAUCGCCCUGGCGCAUCGCGGCGCCGGAUCUCAGGCGCCCGCCGGAGGCCCAAAACUCUUGUUUAUUUAUGUUUCCUCUCCGAGUGGCACAAGCAAAAAUAAAUCAAAACCUUCAACAACGGAUCUCUUGGUUCUG
rnacentral:misc_RNA from 1 species